UACGUAGGUGACUAGCGUUGUCCGGAUUUACUGGGCGUAAAGAGCGCGCAGGCGGUCGUUCAAGUCGAGUGUGAAAGCCCCCGGCUCAACUGGGGAGGGUCAUUCGAUACUGAUCGACUCGAAGGCAGGAGAGGGUAGUGGAAUUCCCGGUGUGGUGGUGAAAUGCGUAGAUAUCGGGAGGAACACCAGUGGCGAAGGCGACUACCUGGCCUGUUCUUGACGCUGAGGCGCGAAAGCGAGGGGAGCAAACGGG
rnacentral:rRNA from 1 species